UACGAAGGGGGCUAGCGUUGCUCGGAAUCACUGGGCGUAAAGCGCACGUAGGCGGACUCUUAAGUCGGUGGUGAAAUCCUGGAGCUCAACUCCAGAACUGCCUUCGAUACUGUAGAGCUUGAGUUCGGGAGAGGUGAGUGGAACUGCGAGUGUAGAGGUGAAAUUCGUAGAUAUUCGCAAGAACACCAGUGGCGAAGGCGGCUCACUGGCCCGAUACUGACGCUGAGGUGCGAAAGCGUGGGGAGCAAACAGG
rnacentral:rRNA from 1 species